rnacentral:rRNA from 1 species
GACGAACGCUGGCGGCGUGCUUAACACAUGCAAGUCGAACGGAAAGGCCCUGCUUUUGUGGGGUGCUCGAGUGGCGAACGGGUGAGUAACACGUGAGUAACCUGCCCUUGACUUUGGGAUAACUUCAGGAAACUGGGGAUAAUACCGGAUAGGAGCUCCUGCUUCAUGGUGGGGGUUGGAAAGUUUCGGCGGUUGGGGCUGGACUCGCGGCUUAUCAGCUUGUUGGUGGGGUAGUGGCUUACCAAGGUUUUGACGGGUAGCCGGCCUGAGAGGGUGACCGGCCACAUUGGGACUGAGAUACGGACCAGACUCCUACGGGAGGCAGCAGUGGGGAAUAUUGCACAAUGGGCGGAAGCCUGAUGCAGCAACGCCGCGUGCGAGAUGACGGCCUUCGGGUUGUAAACCGCUUUCGCCUGUGACGAAGCGUGAGUGACGGUAAUGGGUAAAGAAGCACCGGCUAACUACGUG